GUAAAUAGUAGGAAGAUAAAAUCUCAUAGAGCAAAGGAAAGCUAGCUAGGUAGAGUACUACAUAGGCAUGCAAUGAAGGUAUAACAAUGAAAAGGAAAUAAUAAUAAUAAUAAUAAUAAUAACAAAAUAGAAGUGGGCUAUAUAAAUUAACUAAUUAAUAAUCAACACAUAUACAUAUAGGUAUCUAGCUAGGUAGCUAUAUGUUAAAACAAAAUAUGUGGGGGAGAGAAAUAAGAGACGAAAAAAGAAGGGUAAGAGAGUAGGUAGUACUAUAUUUAUAAGUAUAUAAAAACAAACUACAAUGAUGUACAUAUAUAUUUUAUAUAUAGAGAGUGGGGAAUGGCACCAUAUAAAUGUGACUGUGAAGUUUUGAUUCCUUGGCAUAUAAGAUAUAGUUCUGUUGGGUUACUGUACUCAGCAUUGAAUGAGGGAGGCCAUGAAAGUGGCUGAACCAAUGGGCUAGCAUAGUUUCUCAAAUAUCCCUAAAUCUCAUCCCCCAUCCAUUUCCAGGUCCAGAUUUACAUUUAUCUCUGUCCCAUUGUAACUUUUGGAACAUGGAAUGUUGAGUGUACUAGGGGACUCCUCAUUCGAAAAAGAAGAGAAAUAUAAUAAAGCCAAGGAAAUGGCAUGCAUACCAAACCACCACCAUCAUCACCAUCACAUAUGUAAUAUAUAUAUAUAAUAACCCUAAUAAAACUAUAAGAUGAGAAUUAAAGAAGAGAAAAAACACAAAGUCUAAAUGGAUAAUGUGGAUGUGUGAAAAAGAAGGGUGUAGAGUAGUGUGUCACGGGAAUUUGGUGUGUCAUUAACAUUAUUAACAGUAAAAAAGAAAAUAUGAAAGUGGUCCAUGCAAGUCUAUUUAGGAGUGGGCUCGUGUAGAUUGCACGCGUCUUAGAGUUUGGCAAGAGAGAGACGAAAACUACUUCUCUUCUUAUAAUUUGCUUCUUUUAUUGUCCUCAUUCAUUACGCCUCUUAAACCCUUAAACCUACUGCUUCUCUCUUCUCUAUAGAGUGGGCUCUAUACACACAUACACACACCCUCUCUCUCUCUCUCUAUGAAUAUUUAUAUACAUAUAAUAUGUUCAGAGCUGAUUUAAAAGAA